UGUUAUAAGCUGAACUUUCAGUCAGUGUGUGUGUCCAGUGACUAAAACAGCUGCAGUGUAACCUAUCACUGUUUUACUGUGGUAAUGGAGAUGCUACUGUAUGGACUCAUACUGAUGAUUAUUUCAUCUGUUAGUGGUCAGUCUUUGACCUCCUCAGAUUCUGUGGUGAAAAAGCCUGGAGAAUCAGUGACUCUGUCCUGCACUGUGUCUGGAUUCUCAAUGAGCUGGUGGAUGCACUGGAUCCGUCAGAAACCAGGGAAAGGACUGGAGUGGAUUGGGCGUAUUGACGGUGGCACUGGCACUAUUUUCGCUCAGUCUCUUCAGGGCCAGUUCUCCAUCACCAAAGACACCAGUAAAAACAUGCUGUAUUUAGAGGUGAAAAGCCUGAAGACUGAAGACACAGCUGUUUAUUACUGUGCACGAGAGUCACAGUAAGACAAAAAACAGCAGAGCUGUACAAAAACUAUGUGUACUAGUUGUGGUGGUGACCCAU